CAGCCACAUCAUAUUGAAAUAUUGGUUCCUGUAUGAUCACAGAAGUUAAUCAACAUUGAGCCUGAUCAGUAUGUAGAUGGGUGAUCGCUUGGGAAUACCAGGUGCUGUAAG